GAAUAUUGGACAAUGGGCGAAAGCCUGAUCCAGCCAUGCCGCGUGUGUGAAGAAGGUCUUCGGAUUGUAAAGCACUUUAAGUGGGGAGGAAGGGCAGUAAGCGAAUACCUUGCUGUUUUGACGUUACCGACAGAAUAAGCACUGGCUAACUCGGUGCCCGCAGCCGCGGUAAUACAGAGGGUGCAAGCGUUAAUCGGAAUUACUGGGCGUAAAGCGCGCGUAGGUGGUUCAGUAAGAUGGGUGUGAAAUCCCCGGGCUCAACCUGGGAACUGCUUUCAUAACUGCUGAGCUAGAGUACGGUAGAGGGUAGUGGAAUUUCCUGUGUAGCGGUGAAAUGCGUAGAUAUAGGAAGGAACACCAGUGGCGAAGGCGACUACCUGGACUGAUACUGACACUGAGGUGCGAAAGCGUGGGGAGCAAACAG
rnacentral:rRNA from 1 species